AAUCAACGCUGGCGGCGCGCCUAACACAUGCAAGUCGCACGAGAAAGCCGCAAGGUGAGUAAAGUGGCAGACGGGUGAGUAACACGUGGAUGAUCUACCCUUUGGCGGGGAAUAACCCUGGGAAACCGGGCGUAAUACCGCAUAAGUCCGAGAGGAGAAAGCCGAAAGGCACCGAAGGAAGAGUCCGCGGCCGAUUAGCUAGUUGGCGGGGUAAGUGGCCUACCAAGGCGACGAUCGGUAGCUGGUCUGAGAGGAUGAUCAGCCACACUGGGACUGAGACACGGCCCAGACUCCUACGGGAGGCAGCAGUGGGGAAUAUUGGACAAUGGGCGAAAGCCUGAUCCAGCAAUGCCGCGUGUGUGAAGAAGGCCUGCGGGUUGUAAAGCACUUUUGUUCGGGAAGAAAUCAUGCUGGUUAAUACCUGGUAUGGAUGACGGUACCGAAAG
rnacentral:rRNA from 1 species